rnacentral:rRNA from 1 species
GUAAGGAAUAUUGGACAAUGGACGCAAGUCUGAUCCAGCCAUGCCGCGUGAAGGAUUAAGGUCCUCUGGAUUGUAAACUUCUUUUAUAAGGGACGAAAAAAGGCUUUUCUAAGUCGUCUGACGGUACCUUAUGAAUAAGCACCGGCUAACUCCGUGCCAGAAGCCGCGGUAAUACGGAGGGUGCAAGCGUUAUCCGGAUUCCCUGGGUUUAAAGGGUGCGUAGGCGGGCAGGUAAGUCAGUGGUGAAAUCCUAGAGCUUAACUCUAGAACUGCCAUUGAUACUAUCUGUCUUGAAUAUUGUGGAGGUAAGCGGAAUAUGUCAUGUAGCGGUGAAAUGCUUAGAUAUGACAUAGAACACCUAUUGCGAAGGCAGCUUACUACGCAUAUAUUGACGCUGAGGCACGAAAGCGUGGGGAUCAAACAGGAUUAGAAACCCGUGUAGUCC